GAGGUUGUGAUCAACAGCUGACAUAUUGAUUAAAGAGGAGAGACAACGGGCAGGUACCCCCAGCAGUGACCACUCCAUCACCCAGAGUGUGCUCCAGGAAACCCAGUGAGAGCUGGAGGAGACCUGGACUCAAACCAGUGCAUUCCUGUGACUCUUCUCCUGGCCAUCCUGUAGCGCAUCCUUAAGACGCUUGGGAGAGACGGCUUAUGAGGUGCAAAUGCUGACUGCAGAUGAAAGGCCAUGGUUGAUGAUGGAAGAGUGAAGAAAAGUGAAGCUG
rnacentral:lncRNA from 12 species